UUAUUGGAGAGUUUGAUCCUGGCUCAGGACGAACGCUGGCGGCGUGCCUAAUACAUGCAAGUCGAGCGAAUCAAUGGGAGCUUGCUCCCAUUGAUUAGCGGCGGACGGGUGAGUAACACGUGGGUAACCUGCCUGUAAGAUUGGGAUAACUCCGGGAAACCGGAGCUAAUACCGGAUAACAUUUCGAACCGCAUGGUUUGAAAUUGAAAGAUGGCGUCUAGCUAUCACUUACAGAUGGACCCGCGGCGCAUUAGCUAGUUGGUGAGGUAACGGCUCACCAAGGCAACGAUGCGUAGCCGACCUGAGAGGGUGAUCGGCCACACUGG
rnacentral:rRNA from 1 species